UACAGAGACUGCAAGCGUUAUUCGGAUUCACUGGGCGUAAAGGGUGCGCAGGCGGUCGGGUGUGUCAGAAGUGAAAUCCCGAGGCUCAACCUCGGAACUGCGUCUGAAACUACUCGACUAGAGUACUGGAGAGGGUAACGGAAUUCACGGUGUAGCAGUGAAAUGCGUAGAUAUCGUGAGGAACACCAGAGGCGAAGGCGGUUACCUGGACAGUUACUGACGCUCAGGCACGAAAGCAUGGGGAGCAAAAGGG
rnacentral:rRNA from 1 species